GAGUUUGAUCGUGGCUCAGGAUGAACGUUGGCGGCGUGCCUAACACAUGCAAGUCGAACGAUCCUUCGGGAUAGUGGCGCACGGGUGAGUAACACGUAGCUUACCUCCCUCUCAGCGCGGGAUAACGACUCGAAAGAGUUGCUAAUACCGCAUAAGCUCACGGUUUCUAGAGAAUUGUGAGAAAAGGCGUAAGUCACUGAGAGAUGGGGCUGCGGCCCAUCAGCUAGUUGGUGUGGUAAUGGCACACCAAGGCGACGACGGGUAGGGGACCUGAGAGGGUGACCCCCCACACUGGGACUGAGACACGGCCCAGACUCCUACGGGAGGCAGCAGUGAGGAAUAUUGCACAAUGGGCGCAAGCCUGAUGCAGCGACGCCGCGUGGGUGAAGAAGGUCUUCGGAUCGUAAAGCCCUUUUCUGCGUGACGAGAGAGGACGGUAGCGCAGGAAUAAGUCUCGGCUAACUACGUGCCAG
rnacentral:rRNA from 1 species